rnacentral:rRNA from 1 species
CAGCAGCCGCGGGAAUACAGAGGGUGCGAGCGUUAAUCGGAAUUACUGGGCGUAAAGCGCGCGUAGGUGGUUUGUUAAGUUGGAUGUGAAAGCCCGGAGCUCAACUCCGGAAUUGCCUUUAAGACUGCAGAGCUAGCAGGUGAGAGAGGUGAGUGGAAUUCCGAGUGUAGAGGUGAAAUUCGUAGAUAUUCGGAAGAACACCAGUGGCGAAGGCGGCUCACUGGCUCAUACUGGACGCUGAGGUGCGAAAGCGUGGGGAGCAAACAGGAUUAGAUACCCGCGUAGUCCCUGUCUCUUAUAC